rnacentral:lncRNA from 1 species
GCAGGUCAACAAUGCAAAGGCAGUGAGUGUACCCAUCCAGACCCUUGUGAAGCCUCAGGCCAUUAAGUCCAAGAUGCCAAAGGGCCCCAGCCGCAAACUCAGCCAUCUGGCUUUCAUCACUCACCCCAAGCUUGGGAAGAUUCGAAGCUACAUAGCCAAGGGUCGUAGGCUCUGCCAACCAAAGCCAAAGGUUCAAACCCAGGCAAAGACCAAAGCCUCGGCUAAGGUCCAGGCUUCAGUUCCAGCCCAGGUUCCCAAAAGCGCCCAGGCCCCUGUGCAGACCCCAUAGAAAAGGCGCCUGCCUGUGUGAAGACAGCUGGACUGCUGUGACACACCCACCUACACACUAUGUGCAGAUGACCAGUGUCCUAUGCUGCUUUUACAAAUAAACUUGAGAAAAGGAAA